rnacentral:rRNA from 1 species
GGAAUAUUGGACAAUGGGCGAGAGCCUGAUCCAGCCAUGCCGCGUGCAGGAAGACUGCCCUAUGGGUUGUAAACUGCUUUUAUACGGGAAGAAACACCCCCUCGCGAGGGGGCUCGACGGCACCGUAAGAAUAGGGAUCGGCUGACUCGGUUCCAGCAGCCGCGGUAAUACGGAGGAUUCAAGCGUUAUCCGGAAUCAUUGGGUUUAAAGGGUCCGUAGGCGGGCAGCUAAGUCAGUGGUGAAAGUCUGCAGCUCAACUGUAGAAUUGCCAUUGAUACUGGUUGUCUUGAAUCAUUAUGAAGUGGUUAGAAUAUGUAGUGUAGCGGUGAAAUGCAUAGAUAUUACAUAGAAUACCAAUUGCGAAGGCAGAUCACUAAUAAUGUAUUGACGCUGAUGGACGAAAGCGUGGGGAGCG